CCGCCGCUCUCCACCGUCACUCUGGGCCUUCCAAUUCUGCAGAUGGGUUGUCUAUCAAAGACCUAAAGAAGCUCCCACAAUUCAAAUUUUCUAGGAGAUCGAAUCCUGAAGCCGAAGCCGAUUGUGUGGUUUGUUUGGAAGGGAUAAGGCAAGGUCAAUGGUGCAGAAAACUUAUCGGAUGUGGGCAUGUGUUCCAUAGGAAGUGUGUGGAUGCGUGGCUGGUUAAGGUCUCUGCGUGCCCCGUUUGUAGGACACGGGUUCGGUUGGGUUCGGGGACUCUGCUUGAGGAUAGGCCGCUGUGGGGAUUUGGUUGGACUAAUGAAUCUAGGGUUUGGUAGAUAUUGUAAGUUCUUGAUAAAAUUUCGAACUCUUUUUUUCUGUACCAUAUUUGAUUUAGAAUUUUGAAUUGCAGAAUUUCUGGUUUUGGCUUAUAAUUCUUGUUCAUGGGUGGGUUAUUGAGAAUAUGAAGUCACAAUUUGGAUUGCUAGAUUCAUGAUAGUUAGAUGCCAAAAGAAGAAUGAUGGGAAUUAAGAUUUUCUGAUUCGAAUAAUUUGAAAAAUAAUGAAUUCCAGGC
rnacentral:misc_RNA from 1 species